CGACUCUCGGCAACGGAUAUCUCGGCUCUUGCAUCGAUGAAGAACGUAGCGAAAUGCGAUACUUGGUGUGAAUUGCAGAAUCCCGUGAACCAUCGAGUCUUUGAACGCAAGUUGCGCCCCAAGCCUUCGGGCCGAGGGCACGUCUGCCUGGGUGUCAC
rnacentral:rRNA from 1 species